ensembl:lncRNA
AUGCACCUUGUAAUCUUUCCUAAUAUGGCUGCUGCCUUUGGGAAGCUAGGAUUUGGCGCCCCCAAGUGGAUCUUCUCACCUUUGUGUGGGCAAGCCCUUACUAGGCUUCCGGCUUCAGUAUGGCAGUGCCAGGCCUUUGGAAGCAUCCCAGCCUUAGCGCCGCCCUCUUCCAACAGCCACACAAAAUGGAUGCACUUUGUAAUCUUUCCUAAAAUGGCAGCCAAUGGGAGGCGCCCCCAAGAGGAUCUUCUCAAUUUUGCAAGGAGGGCUGAGCGAUGUCUUGCUUUUCAACAUUGUGAUAUGUCAUCGCGAUGUAUACCAAUACAACACCAUUUCUGUGUCUGAAAUAUGAACGGAGAUACGUAGAACGAACAGGGUUACAUGCCAGCAACUCAUACUACUUAGGGGUCUAAAACUUAUUCAUUUUAACUUACACUUAAGAAAUUGUUACAACUGUGAUUUCAUAUUUCCAAUAUUUCUUAAAUCUGCACCUUUUCUCUAAAAUAAAAUCUGUGGAAGAAAUCAGCAGCACAGAUGUCAAAGAUAAGAUGAGAGAAUGUUUCCCUAACAGAGAUGAGAUAGACACAAAUGGGGGGGAGGCAAAGGGAGGAAAGAGGUUUAAACUCACAAUUAAAUAACCCCCGUUUAUUUUUCUAUCACAAUAGUGGAGGCUGCCAUGUGAGCCACAGCAACCUGCCAGGCUUUUGGCAAGGGAGGCAGAAAGGGCUUUGUGCUCUUGCAAGAGCCUCAGAUUUUGUGCCAUCUAGGCUGGGUGCCCUGUGCAUAAAAACUGCAGGUACAAUAUUGUGCCACCUUGGUGUGACACCCUGCGCAGGAAAACCAGGCUCUGGCAUCUUCCUAGAGCCCUUCCCUGGUUCCUAAAACUGGGCAAGCACUUACUAAACUUCUGGCUUUUGGAAGGCGGUGCCAGGGCUUUGUGCCGCCCUCCAACAGCCACACAAAAUGGAAGCACUUUGUAAUCUUCCCUAAAAUGGAGACCUCUGGGAGGCUAGUAUAGGCGCCCCCAAAUGGAUCUUCUCAAACAUGCAUCUUCUCACUUUUGUGUGGGCAAGCACUUACUAGACUUCCGGCUUCAGGAAGGCAUUGCCAGGGCUGCCUCCAGAGCCCUAGUGCCACCCUCCCAAGGCCACACAACACUGAUGCACUUUUUAAUCUUUCCUAAAAUGACAGCAGCUUUUUGGCGCCCCCAAGUGGAGCUUGUCAAUUUUGCAGCACAUCAGAUUUCUGAAUGACUAAAAUAGCAUAGAACUAUGUAAAAAGGAGGAGAACAGGAAUAAUGGACUAGAAACACUUUUAAGUACCUCAGGAGGAAUAUACCCUACAACCAAAGCAGGUCCUGCAUGCAAUGUAUUAUGGCAUAUAUGACAUUCCGCUACUUGAAAAUGCAUAGAGAUUAACAGACUAAAAUAAGCAUCCUACAUAAACAUAGGUCAGAAAGGAAAAGUGCUGCAACUAGGGCUGGGUGAUGUCUGGCUCUGGAAAGGAAUAUUCAAGCUUUGGCAGGGUCCUAGAGCCCUUAUCUCUUUCCCAAAGAUGGGCAAUCAAGUACUAGAUUUCCGGCUUUGGGAAGGCGGUGCCAGGGCUCUGGCAUCACCCAGAGCUCUAGCGCCGCCCUUCCAAAAGCCACACAAAAUGGAUGCACUUUGUAAUCACUCUUAAAAUGGCAUUCUCUGCGUGGCCAAUAUUUGGCGCCAUCAAGUGGAUCUUUGCAAGUAUUUUUGGAUGAAAUAGCAUAGUACUAUGUAAAAAACAACAACGAGAAUAGGAAUAAUGGUCUCAAAACAGCAUUAAGUACCUCUGGAGAAACAUACCUUACAACAAAAGCAGGUCUUACAUGCAACAUAUUAUAUCAUAUAUGAGAUUCUGCUAUCUGAAUAGCCAAGGAGAUUGACAGACUAAAAUGAACAUCUUUCUUUUGUUUGGGUUUUAAAAAGAUGUGUAAUAUAUUCAUUGAAGAAUUUAGAAACUUAGCACAUGCAAA